UGCGGAAGGAUCAUUAAAGAGUAAGGGUGCUCAGCGCCCGACCUCCAACCCUUUGUUGUUAAAACUACCUUGUUGCUUUGGCGGGACCGCUCGGUCUCGAGCCGCUGGGGAUUCGUCCCAGGCGAGCGCCCGCCAGAGUUAAACCAAACUCUUGUUAUUUAACCGGUCGUCUGAGUUAAAAUUUUGAAUAAAUCAAAACUUUCAACAACGGAUCUCUUGGUUCUCGCAUCGAUGAAGAACGCAGCGAAAUGCGAUAAGUAAUGUGAAUUGCAGAAUUCAGUGAAUCAUCGAAUCUUUGAACGCACAUUGCGCCCCUUGGUAUUCCGAGGGGCAUGCCUGUUCGAGCGUCAUUACACCACUCAAGCUAUGCUUGGUAUUGGGUGCCGUCCUUAGUUGGGCGCGCCUUAAAGACCUCGGCGAGGCCUCACCGGCUUUAGGCGUAGUAGAAUUUAUUCGAACGUCUGUCAAAGGAGAGGACUUCUGCCGACUGAAACCUUUAUUUUUCUAGGUUGACCUCGGAUCAGGUAGGGAUACCCGCUGAACUUAAGCAUA
rnacentral:rRNA from 1 species